GCCCUGCAAUUACUGCAAGAACGAGAAGAAAGAGAAGUGGAGUGUUGGAAAAAUGGGAAGCGAUUCAGGUUUGAGUGUGCUGGAUGACUUAAGGGUAAGCAGCAAUUGAAAGAUAGCUGCGCAAGUUGUUCGAACUGGAAUGACCUUUCCGAGGAAGAAUACAACCAGUCCUCACUUUUGAGACAUAAUGUUCCAGACUGGUAGAAAUUUGGAGAAAAAGAGGGAGCAGGAGAGAGAACAGGGGAGAGAUACACUGAGAGAGAGGAAGAUCAAGAGAGAGAGAGAGAAGGGGGAAAGAGAACAGAGAAGAAAAGCAAAGGAGAGAGACAGAGUGAAAGUGAGAGCGAGGAGAGAGGGAGAGAGAGAGAGGCAGGGAAAGAGACAAAGCAAGUGAGAGGAUGGAGAGAGAGGGAGAGAGAUAAAGGGAGAGCGAGAGCCAGAUAGAAAGACUUCUGGGUCCUCUCACUCUGUCUCGUCCCUCUGUUUCGGAUGAUAAAUCGACGUCGAUGCUCGGCGGUCAGUGAAGUGGUCGUGCGGGGCUUUCUCCUCUCGCCGGAAGGUGAAGUUUUCCCUGGAAGCGCGUCUCUGCUGCAGUCGGCUGAGGACAGAGAGUGAUAGCACUGUGCUACGGCAGACUGCUGUGUCACGGAGCUGCUGCCUUCCACAGUUUGCAACUGGCAGAGUUCUGCCGGCUGCCGCUUUCCAGUCGCAUUGCAGCAAGACCGACGUGGGGAGAGGAAGACACAGAGCUGCGCGGACAUUUUUUUGGGGGGAGUCCGCCAUCGGAAUAAAGUGCCCUUCUUUUUUACUUCGAAUGUAUAUUCGGUCUGAGCUGCUUGCCAAUGACGGAAAUUAUUCCUGUGUGGAAAAUACCAGCCUAACAAAAAAAAAGAAGAGAACAAAAAAUUUGGAUUUACUCUUUGGAAUAAAACGAAUGCGGUGCAUAUUAUGGCGGGGCGUUCCGAAUGUCCUUUCUGACUUACGAGGAAACUACUUUGCCAGUGUUUCAGGGCUUAUACUGCACAGCGAAGCAAGAAAUGGAGCAGUACCUGUUCUGCUCACAGCCAGAAGGUCUCUCCUCCCCGCAGGCGCUAGGUGACUGUGGCCUGUCCCAGCUCUCCCUCCCGCCUGGCACCGCUAGCCGUGUUUGCCAUGCCUGGGUCAGAGGCAGCCUGGGCGCUUCUGCAGACCCAACAUGGCUUCCAGCGGAGGUGAAUUAGCACAGGCUGCGCACACAGACUGGCUGACCUACAUCAGCCGCAGUCCUGUCUGGAAGUGGAGAGAGCAGCCGACUGGCAGUGCCCCUCACUCACUCACCCGUAGUCAUCCUGCGCAGAGUCCUCAGGACAGCAGGCUCCUGUCCGUCUGCAACGGGGCGCAAUAAUUUGCCAUUUGCCUUCGUUCGUGGUCUCUGACCGCCUCUAGAGUCCAGAUCUCCAGUUGCCUUAUUUCCCCCCCCCCCCACCCCACCCCCACCCCCCAGCCUUCCAACACCACCCUGUGCAGCGGUUAUCAAUCACGCCGGCUGUAUUGCAUUUUCAUUGUGGAUUAGCCCGUCUGCGACACUGCUCUUAUCUCUCUGCACUGGGGAAAGUGUGAGGCGCUCUCUCUAUCAGCAGGGCUUAGCCGGCGCUGUCUGCUCAAAGCUGUGCAGGCGAGGGCUGGAAAACCGCACACAACAAAGGGAGCAGCACAAAGCGCGCGCGUCUCGUCUUCCUGCUGGAUUAUGGUAUUGCAGGAAGCGUGCUGCUGGAUUACCAUCUCCCUCCUCUGGCACUCUGGGGACCUUCUUCUCCCCUCUGCAGUCCAAGAGUUCAGCAUGAUUCUCUCAGCUACAGAGAACUGCAAGGCUGUGUUGCAGAUUGUAUCCAGCAAAGGGGUAACGUGUCACUGAAGUUCUCAGCCAAAAAUAUUUUGUGCGCGUGGAGCGGAAGGGGAAAGGGGGGGGGGGGGCGGCGGCAAUGGGGUGUUUUAUCAUGGUUACAUUAACUAUGGCUGCUCGCUUUCUCACCUGUGGCACCGUCUCAACAUACAGUGUGGAGCACGCGCAACACGCUCGUGUUGCUAUGCAUCUCUGCGUGAGGUGGUGGCUCUGGGCGCAAUGACAGUUGUGAAGAAAAGCCUUUUUGAAAAACUCUAUCUGUGAGAUUGUGAGGUGGGGGGGUGGGGGGGCAAUGCCAGGAACAUGACAAACUGCAAGAGUGCGCACCGAGCAAUAGAUCAGUGCACAGAGAGCUGAAUUCAGACGUCUCUUCCCCCACAUAAAGAAUCAGAUCUCAGGGUUCUAUUUCAAAUGCAGCACGCAUAAAUAAAUGCUGAUCAUAACCCGGGCCGUAGCCUUCCUACAAUGUUCUGCAUAUUAUGAGUUGUUUAUUUUCUGCAUCCUACCCAAUAAGAAUUGGUUAUCAAAUUUUAUAUUUCGACCAUCCCUGCUGGUUUCCAUAUAUGUAUAUUCAAUUCAUAUAUUUAUAUAUAUUCAUUCCUCAACCAUAAAUUUUCAAAAUGCAAAAUGUAAAAUUUGAUGGAAACAUAUAUGUUAAAUUACAGAAUGCACAGAGCAAAAUGUAUAAAAGCAAGAACAAGAUGUAAAAUUAAAUAAAGGAAAAAAAUAUGAGAGAAAUAACAGAUCACUUGACAGAAUUCAGGAUGGGUAGAGGAAUGUUAAAUCAUAAUAACAUCUAAAAAAACCAGACAUUGUUUUACACGUAUUUCUUUUGAGUCUCUCUGAAGGGAGAUGAGAAGACAUGUCACAGUAUUACAGAAAACCUGUCAACACAGGAGUGAAAUAUCACCGUGCAGGAAGUAGGGAGGUUUCACUGCAGUUGAGUAGCAGGAGUGUGCUUCCACACCAGGUCUGUUACACACAGAGGGACCACCUUAGUGGGUCAGGAGUGAGGCAUUGCAGUUAUUGGGUAUAAACAAAGCACUAUGCUUUUCUCAAAAAGACAUAAACCAAUAAAUAAAUAAAUGUUAUAAUAUAAUAUAAUGCAGGUGCUAAGCUCAAUCACUUUUUAUUUUUAUGAUUAUAGGUAUUGUGAGCUAUUGAGAGUGAUGCUAUGAUGCUAUUUUUAUAUCAUUGUGCUUUGUACAAGCGAUACAGUUGCUAAUUGCACUGGUUUAUGAUGCAACUUGUUUCCCUUCGUAAAAUGCAUCUGUUUUUAUUGUGUCAAAGAAUCUGCUAUAAACUGAUGAUGUCAUAAUUGAUUUUCAUUGAUUUGGCUAAUGCAGAGUAUGAAAUCAGUGAAAGUCUAACCAUCUCAUAUGUGCCUGCAUCCCAGAUCUGCCAUGGGAAAAUGUAAACUUGCUGUAGAAAAACCUUAUAUGAAUCAAGCCUCCAAAGGUUGGAAUUAGUGAACUGAGCCGACGUCAAAGGUGUCUCUGUCACCUUAGUCUCAGUGUGAUCCUUUCAAGAAUCAAUUUCUUCUUCUUUGUCUUCUUCUUCUUCUUCUAAUAGUCAUAAUAACAAUAACAAUAAUAAUAAUAAGGGCAGCAUGGUGGUGCAGUGGGUAGCACUGUCACCUCACAGCAAGAAGGUUGUGGGUUCAAAUCUCGGUUUGGGGCCUUUCUGUGUGGAGUUUGCAUGUUCUCCCCGUGUCUGCGUGGGUUUCCUCCGGAUACUCCGGUUUCCUCCCACAGUCCAAAGACAUGCAGGUAGGCUGAUUGGAGACUCUAAAUUGCCCAUAGGUAUGAGUGUGUGAGUGAAUGGUGUGUGUGCCCUGUGAUAGACCAGUGGCCUGUCCAGGGUGUAUUCCUGCCUCUCGCCCAAUGUAUGCUGGGAUAGGCUCCAGCACCCCCUGCGACCAUGCUCAGGAUAAGCGGGUAUAGAUAAUGGAUGGAUGGAUAAUAAUAAUAAUUAUUAUUAUUAUUAUUAUUAUUAUUAUUAUUAUUAUAAGGAUUUGGUAAUUCUUGUGUGCCUAAAACCCAGACAUAUUAUCUAUAUUAUCCAAGCACUCACAUGAUUUUCAAAUAUGGAAUGAGAAAUACAAUCAAAUAUCCUCUGUUCCUCCCCCAUCCCUCUAUUUUGCUGCCCAGGUACCCAUCCCCCUCUCACUGGGUCUCAUCUGAUUAUACAGUCAGCAUUCCCUGAAUGAGAGAUGCUAUCUUGUGACUAAGAUUGAGAAAUGUGUGUAUUUGCUGAGAGUCAGCCAACUAUCUAUAUAAAACUGCUUCUGUUUAGUGCUGGUAGUGAGGGAUCAUGAAUUGUAUUAUGGGUGAAGCUGGACCAAUCAUUGACUCAGAUGCAGUUCUCAAAAGUCAUGGUAAGUAACAUAUGACCUCACUCUGCUAUCUCUAUCUAUUAAUCUAAUAAGCUGUGUUUGCUUCUCAGGUCACACAAAGCUUUGGACAUGUAUGUAUAGUAACUGGCCAAACAAUAAUUAAUGUUUAAGCAACAUCUGCGUGGAUAUAGUGUAAUAACAGCAUAGACCAUAUUCUUCUGUUUGUUUCAUAUUUAGGACCAGACUAUUUUGUAUAUUAACAUUUUUACAUUAAUUGUUUUCCAUUUAGAGGUGAUCUUACACUAAAGCUUCUAUCUCCAUACAUUUUGCCAUGCUUCUAAUAUUUUGUUUAACUUGGAUAAUUAUUUUAUUGCCAAAUAUUUACUGAAACUAAACCCUCUAGUCAACCAGUCUGAGACAGCUACUUCAACUUGGACAAGAGGAGCCAAGCUAAACAAUCCUUCCCAUAUGUUUCAGAAACAUAGAGUUCUCUGUCAGAUCUUCCAUUUUUGUAUACAGUGGCUACUUUGUCUCUUCUUGAAUACAUUUCAAAAAGAGAUGUGGGUGGCAUUCCUCCAAAGCCUCGUUUGUAAAAAUCCUUCUGUUCUCAAUUAUUCUGAAAUAACUUCAAAUGUACAGUAGGAGCAACCCAAACCCCCAAGACCAUGCAAACAGUUGCCCUGCCAUGGCAAAUAUCAAUCCCUUGAAUGUUGCUGGCAUUGAGGGCCAAAUACCAGGAUUGGAAUUUGACAGAAUUUCAUUUUUUUUAUUUAAAUUAAUUAAUUUAUUUUUGAACAAGCUCCUUUCCAUAGAUUUCUUGCAUUGGGACCGAUCCAAAAUGAAAAGAGAAAAAAGUUUUACAUUUUAACAUUUUAACUUUUUUUAAGUGUCUCAAUUGCUUCAAUCCGAUCAUUCAUAAUGACUUUACUGCAGGCCAGUGGACCAUAGAUGUCUCCAUUUGAACUUGAUCAUAUUUUAUUAUUAUUAUUAUUAUUUUUUAAAUGUUUACUUUCACUGAGCUAUUUCUAAAUUAAAAGCUAUCUACCUUGCAAAAUCAAGCUACAGAACAAACAAGGCUACUUACCUAUUCAGCAAUCUGACAUUAACUAAAAUAAUGCACCAUGAAAUUAGCAACAGCCUAGCUGUGUGUCUAUGAUCAGCUGACGGUAGCUUGUUCAACACAUUCAUGAAAGAUCUGUCAUGAAAACAGAAAGAUAACAAGGAAAGUUGUUUUUUUGUGUGUGCUCCAUUCACAUUGAGCAGGCAGGUUAAAACUAAAAAGAAUUUCCAAGGGCUUUUGGUAAUAAUGUUCAUAUUAAAAAAAUGUCCCAAGUCUUGAUGAAUUCACUCACAGCUAAUUAAUAAUAUUGUCGUUCCUUUAUUAUUCUCUCCGGCUAUGUAUGUGCAGCACGAUAUGUUGCUCCAACAUAUCGUGUACAUAUCUGUACAUCUUAUUUCUUAUUUCUAAUAACAUAUUUACAUCAUGUGCCUGAGAUGAAGCACAGCAGCUAAUUUCUACAGCAGCUAAUCUCCUUCUUAUUUCCCCUGGGUGAUUCAUUUCAAAUCCUAGUGAAGUUAAUUUGCCUCAGUUUCACCUGGAAUGAAAUGACAAUGACACAAAGCAUGUCUUCAUUCAAAUUAUAUUUAUUUUUGCUGUUUCUAGUAAUGUACUGUACAUCUAAGCGCAUUAAACCACUUCUUUCUCAGUUCAUUGUGUAGUUUUAUGUUACUCCUCAUACAAAUUCAUUCAUAAGAUUUCUACCUUACACUGUACAUAUGAACUGGUACAUGACAAGCUUAUUUACUACAAGGUCAUGUUCUUCAAUAGCAAAAAGAAUCUUUUUUUAUGGACUAGUGGCAAUAACAUGUAGUUUCCAAUGCACAUAAUCACAGUGUUAAGGCUUCUGUGUUACCAUGUAAACAGGCUAUACUAUUCAUGCCGAGCGACUUACACAACAUUUACAUAGCAUUUACUUUGCAUCCAUUUAUACAGCUGGAUAAUCAAGCAAUGCAGGUUAUGUACAUUGCUCAAGGGUACAACGGCAGUGUCCUACCUGGGAAUUGAACCUGUGACCUUUAGUUUAUAAGACCAGCUCCUUGCCCAUUAUACUACACUGCCCAUGUGUAAAUAUGGUAUUUUCAUAAAAUAUACUCACUCCUUUAAAUCUUAAUAAAACCGUAUUGUCUUUAAAAAAAAUGAAUACUCUGUAUAGCACAAACUACCUGAAAGUAUGGCACAAAAACUGUAACAUUUUCUCUUCACUGGAUAUCGAUGUACUUCCCUAGCUUGCACCAUGUUUUAAAAUCCCGAGACAGAAAUGGGUCUAAAAAGCCUGCUCUGAACUCUCAGUCAUUUCUUCUGUUAUGCGUAUGUAAAUAACAGGAUGAAAUUAAAUCUGAUUGUGAUUGUUCCAGACAGUCUCAAUCUGCACAGGAGUGAUACUGCUGUGUGUGGUGGGUGUUUAUAUGCAUAUAUGUACUCACCAAAAAGAGAGAAAAAAAGCAUCCCCUGAUCCUGUUUAAAAUGCAGAACUUGUUUAAUGAUUGCCUUGGCUCACAGCCCCAAACGGUAUAAAGCCCAUAGCAACAGCUAAUACAGAAGCCAAUUCUCAAGAGGCUUAAAAAAUGGAUUUUGUUCAACUCUCAUUACACAUUUUGUCACUUGAAAGUGCUGGGUGUACCUGUUGGGAACAUUUCUAAACCUAGUGUGUAGAUGGAUUAUUUUAUGUGAAGCAGCCAAUUUUCUGUCUUACCAGGCCAUUGUAUUUGUGAGUUUUGGAAUUACCAAUAUGGAAAAAAAUUGUUGAUAUAAAUACAAAUAUUCCACGGUUGGACAUGCUGACAACAGAAUUAGUUCUCAAACAGUGCAGGCAUUAACGCUGCGCUCUCACUCCAGUACUGAAGUUGCACAACAUAGUUCUGUAAUCUCUCUCUCUCUGUAUGAAUCACACUUCCCUCUCACUUCCCUGGCUGCCAAAUGAUAAACACGACAAGCGCCUGUGCCGCUGAUGGACUGCACAAAAUUAUCUUGUAGAAUACAACAACAGGUUGACUCCUCAGGGAAGAGAGAGAAUGUGUGAGAGAGAGGGAGAGAGAGGGAGGGGGAGAGAGAGAGAGAGAGAGAGAGAGACGCACACACUUUGAGAACUAGUCUGGAUUCUUUCACACUUCUCAGUUUACACUUAUCAUGCAUCAAGUGUCCUGACAGCGUCACAGCCAUUUCGUCCCAGAUGGUCUUAUUAUAAAACUGUUGUCAUUAUUACCUGAGCCCUGAAGGCUUGCUGGAAGAACUUCAGACAGAGGCAUGCUUGGUGCACUGGUGUAAUAGAGAGGGGUGAUAUCAUUGGGGGCUUCUGUUGGAGUGGCAUGACUGACUAACACAACACAUGCCAAAUGGAGAUAAUUCAUGCAAAAGCUUCACACUGGUAGCUUUAUAAAAAAUCUGUGUACUGGUUUAUAAGAAUGAAAUACUGUUUUCAGAGUGUUUUGUUAUUAUUAUUAUUAUUAUUAUUAUUAUUAUUAUUAUUUAUUGGUGUGAUGCUACUGCUGUGAACUUUUUUGUUUUUAUUUUAAUUCAUACACUUCUAAUUAUUCAUAUUGUCAAUCUCUUCUAGUGCUUAGGGAAAGUCUCAGUGAAGGCCAAGGUAAUAUUUACACAAGCUAUGAACCUGCAAGCAUGGAGCACAUUAGCAUUACAAUGAAACAGUGACAAAAUACUCUAGUAGAUAUGCCACCGUUUGACUUGUACACGCAGCAAGUGCACUGGCUCAAGAAAUGUGACAACACUGCAACUGUUUUUUCCCCACCAAUCACUACUGUGGACCCACGUGGAGUAGGGUUUGAAGAUAUUACCUCUGGACCUGAGACUCAGCAAGAGCUGAAAUCCAGGUGGGAGUCUGCUGCUGCCACAUCCCUAAGCAAGCGUCUGUGAAAAGUGACUCGCCAAGCUCCGACGUCGCACCCGACUCCUCAAGGGCCAUCGUGCAUCCGUGAAAAUUGAAAAGCUGCAAGAACAAGAACGUGGGUGCAGGAAAAGCAACGAGCAAGCAACGUGUAGCUCAAUAUGUCCAAAGCCUUUUAUACAAUGCAUUUGUUUGCUUGUUGACCAGUCAGAACAUUGUUUGAAAUAAUUCCAGUAACUACCUCCAGCUGAGUGUAUACAACAUUCCUUGAACAUCCUAUGUGUCCUCUUCAGUCAAUGAAAUUGAUGUGAAAUGCGAAGUAUGGACCAUUUCACACAAUUCAUAUAAUGCUGUCACUGAAAACCAAAUAGGCGCUCAGAAUUUGAAUCAAUAGCUAAAAGACGCACGUUUAGUGCACUAAAGCUAUACGCUGCAGAGAGCAGACUGUGAACAAACUGGUGCCCUGGCUAAAGACACAGUGUGCUUGCGAGAGUCAAAAGAUCGAUCGAUGUGGUCUGCCUCAUGUCCACCACUGCUGUCAAGGUGAUUGGUCAGCAUCAGUGGCGCAGACUGAUUUUGGACACUACAGUACUGAUCUUACUGAAUUGAGAUGUAAUUGUAUUAUAAGUUAAUAUGUUAUAUCAGACAGAGAAAAGGGGAUCACUGCUCAGAAAGUGCUAUGAAAGGGGAGAGAAGCCUCAUAUAUGGCUCCAGAGUUGGCCACUCCACAGUCUGUGGAACACGUCUUGUUGUGCAUCGGCUGUUCAGGCGCUACUUUAACCACCAUGACAUGGUUGGGUGCAUGCAUACGUAAAUCUUUUAAUUAAAUGAAAUACAUUUCUUAUUAUUUAUUACUUACUGUUCAAAAUCAAGGAAUAUUAUUCCAUCUGAAAAUGAACUUUAAGACACAUGAGAAGUUUUUUUUUUUUUCCCUAUGAAGACAUUGUCCACAUGACAAAUGCUCCAGUAUGUUCAGACUGUUAUGUGUAUGUGUCCGUAUGUGCGUGUGUGUGUAGGGGGUGCUGUUAUUAUUAUUUUUUCAUCCGUCGUCUAUUAAUGGAUGAGAAAGUACCAUUAGCCUUUGUGGAGGGAAGGCAGCACUGAGACAUUAGCAUGAAAUUGGCUUCAGCCCCACUGCCCUUUUCAGCCAUGUCAAUCAGCGACUGGCUUGGAAGCUGUACACUGCUUCCUUUAGUGUGUCCAUUAUUCAACUUUCUUCUCUGUAGCCUUGGUUGUGAGUUGGGCUAUUUUUACUUCAAGGAUGAGAAACCAGCCUCAACAAUAAGAUUUUCCAAUCUGAUGAUUUAGUACCAGAAUGACAUCAGGAAAAACUAUGAAUACAACAAGAUAAAACAUAUAUAUACUGUGUAUGUAUAUAUAUAUAUAUAUAUAUAUAUAUAUAGUAUUUUUUUGACACAGAUUUGAUAAUAUAUUGACAUUUUCAUUACACUAGUCUCCCUGCAGUAAGGUGGACUGUGGACUGUGAGACACAAGGGAGCUAAGGAGACCAAUACCCUUCACACCGGCUUGUGCAAUAAACUGUCAAUUAGACAGUCCUCUCAUGGCGAUAUAUCAGGAAAGAUCAUUAAAUAUGUAUCCCCACUGACAGAGCGCCCUGUCUGGCUCAUCACGCGUGCCUGAGAGAGUCAUCAGUAUAAGGCUUCAUCAUGAGAUCAGCAAACAGGGGAACGGAUUGACGAACGACUAGCAGACUGCUGGCAGACAAGCAGGAUGCAAUCGCAAUUUAAUGACCUCAUAAAUUAUCUCACACCUAUCAAACAUGGAUGCUCUCUGAAAUGCCUUUCAGGGAUGUUGAGAAACAGGGCAGAUCUGAAUGCCCCCCCAUGUCAUCCCAUGAGGUGACAAGCACUACCUAAUCAGGGGGAAACUGGAAAGCCUCAGAAAGCAAACCAGAGACUACAGCAAUUUCAGUGCUGAAAACAUGUUGGAAUUUUGUUUUGGAGAGGUCUGCUAAAUCUGGUUUCCUUGUUUCUCAUUCCAGGAUACCUGUUCUGGUUUUUCCUCCAGCAGAAAAUUCUCAGAUUUAGGAUUUCAUCAGUGACUUGUUCAAGACAAAAAAGGACCACUGAAAGAGACAUCUUUAAGUGUAAAACCAAUGGUAAGAUUGUACAUCUAUUCCAUAUUUAGUUGCAAAUAUUGAUAGUAGAAAGACAUAGUAUAAUUCAACUGAAAUUCUUCUUGCUUUAUUCGGGGAGCAGUGUUUUUCAGCACUGUAUUGGCAUACCUUUGGGCUAUUAUUGGUUUUAUCUAGUUGCUAUGAUGCAAUACACAUUUUGCUGGUGAAAGAACAUUUUUAUGAACUACCAGAUUGGGGGGGUAUAGUUGCAGGUUAUGUAGAUGAGACUGCAGGGAAAAAGUGCUUGUUUUUCAACUAAGGUGCUGGUGGUUUCUUAUGUGCAUUUCACUGAAGGGGUUCCAUAGCUCGAGGACUCUGAUUACUUAUCUCCUUGCCCCUACAGCCAGGAAACCAAUUCUUCCCACUUGGCCCGACAGAUACCAAAUGCCUUGAUGUGGGUCCCAAGGGGCUGAUGCAACGAACAACCUGGCUAUCUGGCAACAGAGCAGAGGCAUUUCAAUGAUCCCUCGUUCCCUCCCUCCCAGGUGACGUGUCCAUGGAGAUUAGGAAGAACACGGGCACUGUCCUGUAACUCACUCAGGUGACAGCACAGGACUUUGGACACACUGUGGGCUGGAGUGUGGCAUCUUGCAGGUACUUAAGGCCCAGCAGCUCCACGCUUCCUGAAACGGGCAAGGUCCCCCUCCAAGAUACUCCAGUUUCCCUUGAUAGUCUUUUCAGUCCAGCUGGUGAUGGUGAGGUUUUAAUGACUGGAUUUGGUGUGGCCCACCCUGCUGAAGCACCUGCCUCUCGCCACAGAGGCAAGACACCAGGAUCAUCGUGCUAGGGCUAAAAGUCCUCGCCCUCUGAUGAUGUCAUCCCGGCGCUCAUUUGAAGAGCAGCACAGGAGUCAAGGAGAUGUUACCAUUGCUAGUGGGAAGGCUUGGGCGAGGCCGUUCAACGCUGCUACACCCAGAGCUCAUUUUCCCCAACGCAAUGCUCAGAAGCAUUCCUGACUUGUGUCAGAGGAGUGCAGAUGCAGCAUCCUGAGUGAGUGAACAAGAGUCCUGUGUGGUUGUAUCACAAACAUUGUUGGUGGCUGCUCAAGAGUAAAAUCGGCCCCCCUAUCACAAAGCACACUCUUAACAAUGUUGAACAAGCAUUCUCCUUGCCCUCUACCACAAAUCUGGCAUCAGCACUCAGUGGCCUCCCAAACCUGAUGAAAUGAUACGUUUUUAUUCCCUCAAUUUCCUUAUCCCGACAAAAGAUGGUGGCAUGAGUUUAAUAUCACAUCUGAGGGCAGUGACUCAUUAUUUAGUGAAACAAUGUUUUCAGAUGCUAAGACACAAAUGUGGAUUGAGCAUAAUCAGCCACUAGUGGGGACUAGUUAAUGCUUGUCAAUCGAAAAAGAUGCUUACUCCCAUUUGAACAUUGUACAGUGCCAUUGGCACCACCUUCGUUUCUCCUCGAACUCCUGUUCAGGCUGUCCCUAGUUCCCAGCACGUUUAAGAUGGUGGUACGUGCCCUAUUACUUCAGAAAGACAUGUAUGUUUUAACAUAUCUAAAUGACUGGCUCAUUUUAGCACCUUCUCAGGGGUUAGCUGUCAAACACAUCAAGAUGCUGGCAUCCCACAUCAAAGAACUGCAGUUCACCAUCUAUCACAACAAACGUCUUCUCACCCUGAGCCAGCCUGUUCAAUGCCUAAGCAUCAGGAGAGAACUGCUUCCCUGCGAGCCUGCGCUAGCAGUUUCUCCCAGGUUACUGCAUCAGUUGGAUCACGAUUAUGUGCCCGUUGGGACUAAUGGUAGCAGCAAUCGCUGUAGUCCCAUUGGGAUUGUUUCACAUGAGACUGCUCAGCCAACUUUGGCUCAGGUGAAUGAAAUUCACAUUCCUCAUAAAGGUGGUAUUGAAAACUUUGUAACUUGCAAACCACUGGAGAGCAUCCCUUAUCUGGGGUGACAUAGCUAGGAGGUAAGAGCGGUUGUCGGGCAGUCGGAGAGUUUCCAGUUCGAUCCCCCACCCUGGGCGUGUCAAAGUGUCCCUGAGCAAGACACUUAACCACUAAUUGCUCCCAAUGAGCUGAUUGGUACCUUGCAUGGCAGCCUUUCACCGUUGUUGUGUGUGUGUGAAUGGGUGAAUGAGUGGCAUCAAUUGUAAAGAGCUUUGGAUAAAAGCUCUAGAUAAAUGCAGUCCAUUUACCAUCUGACAGUUGUGCUGCGACCAUAUCCUGUGUUUAACCCUAAGAUUAUUACAUGUCCUUUUGCUUAUGUGUUUCGGACCUGGUGGCAUUUAAGCCCCCUCCUCAUGACAAUGCUGUUUUAUUAUUUAAUAGUUGUAACUUUACUUUAACUAAAGUAUGAUAUUUGAGUACUUUUACCACCACUGUACAAACCAGAGAUAAGAUAAUUUUGGCGUGCAUGCAACAGUGAAAUGGACAACAAUGAUAAUUUUAAGUAAACAAUAGACUAUCAACGUUUCUUUGAGUUUCUGGGAUUAAAAAUGACUAUGAAGUUUGCUGGAUUCUUGCAGUGACAAGCAGAGCUCCUUUUUCAUGAUGUGUGUCAUCUGUAGAUUUCCAAAAUGCGAAGAAGGUGAGGACCCCCAAGUUUGUUUUGCCACCCCACAUGUUACAAAAUAAGGAACCGUUGUCACUGAAACAUUGGCAUCAUAAAAUAGUUUAUAAUUUUAGAACCGUGAGUUGUAACACUUUCAAACAGUGUCUGGUAUGACCAGAUUGACUGAAAAUGUCAUUGUUGAAAAUGAAACCCAGGGGCUGGUGUGACUUAAAGGGUUAACGUUUCAAUUUUAAAACUUCAAAAAUAAUUUAAAUUGUCAUUACUUGAUGGUACAUUCAUAUAAAAAAAAAAAAUUAAAAAAAAAAAGUAAAACCUAAAUUGGAAACUGUCGAUAUCGAACUGAACUCGAAAAAGACUAACAGUCGCUCAACACUAACAGUCAGAUCAGCUGUUUUGUGUGUUAUCCUGUUGCUGCCUAAAGGAAAGUUGUUACAUCACACUGUUAUGGUUUCCCCUGGCUCACUGGUGCGAUUAACUCGGCAUACGAGAGUAUGGGCUUGUCCGCUCCGGUGGAGGUCCCAGCCACUCUAAAUCGAGGCUUAGCAGCAUCUCAGGCACCUUUUCUGGGGGUAAGUGUGAACAACAUUUGUACAGCGGUGUACUGGAGUUCACUGUGCGCCAUUGUACAGUUUUAUCUGCUAGAUGCGAUGACACCAUCGGUCGCAUAAGAAGUUUUGAAGCGCAAUGAUAUAUUGACCAUCUCAUGGCAUGGGUAUUCACUAUAGCUGCUUCACAUGACCCAAGCUCUGGGGGUGGUUAUGGCUCUUCGGUUUGUCUGGUCUGCCGGAAAAAGAGGGGAGCCCAACUUGAUUGGCCAUAACUUGCACUGUUUGUUUUUCUGCAUCAGGGGGCCGAUGCUGAUGACAGGGUGUGGGGGAUUGGGUUCACAUAUGCAGCUUAAAGCAAAGCUAAUAAAGAACCAGAACUCUAGGGUACAAGUGCCUGUUGUCCUAUGAGUUAUAAGCAAGCUUUAAGCUUUGCCUUGGCUUUGCCUUUGCUGAAUCUUUUCCUUUGCUGAAAAUUUGUCUCAAGGAAUGAUUGUGGGUUGGGAUGUCACUAAACAGCCACCAUAUGCAAAUGCUGUUGUAAGUGCAUCUUUGCCCUGGUUGACCAUCAAGAUGGCAGUCUUCUUCAGUCUCAAGAUUGAAUGAAAUCCAAUUCUCAUAAGCAGCUUAAAGCUCUCUAAGAACUCAUUGAGCAAUGGGUAAUUAUACCCUCGAGUUGAUCAAACAUUUUACAGAACAACAAGGAACCAUGUAUUAAAAAAUAAAUACUCACAGCAAGAAAUGUUAGUUUUUUAGCGCACAAAGAAAAAAAGAAAAAAUACAGACCCCAAGAAUUUUUAACUAUCAAACGAUUAUGAAUCACCAAACAAUAUAUGGCAGAAGAGAACACAUUUGAACUGUUCUAUAUGCCAGAGGCCCAGCUUUUUGAAAUUGCAAUUUUACCAGUGUCACAAGUGACCUGUUAUGUCACUAUUAUAUUAUAUUGCAUCCAUUUGUGAUGAAUUCAUAAAAUCAUUCGCAAUACCGUAGCAUUUUUGGUGCAGAUGAUAAUCAACAUAUUCAAAAAUGCAUCAUACCAUCUGUGGUUUAUUACUGUUGUUCCUAUAUUAUUUAUGGGAGCAUUGUGACCUCAGAAAGGUGGCGCAAGGGGGAACAGCAGACCAGGAGUCUCUACAGAGCACCAUUACAUUAAACUCAUGCAGCUUCCACACUGCCCGGUUCAUAUUCUGAGGGCGAGAGGGACUUCCUGUCACGCAAUGUUAUUAAACCCAGCUAUCUUUUAUGCAGAGGAGAUCGCUUCUGUCUGAUUUUGCUCAUAAAAUGUUAAUAGAUUCAGUAGAAAAAUUGCACUCUUUUAAUUUCAGAAGAAAUGCUUAUCUGCACAGCGUACUUGAUUCUGUUGCCGCAAAUGCAUUAUUAUUGCCUUAUGUAAACACGGCUGGUAUUUCAAAUGCUAAUUUCUAUUGUAUUGUGAUCUGUUUAAUAACAUGCGACCACCAUGUCUCAAAUGGGCAUGAAAUCCUUUAAGGUUUGAUUACAUGCGGGAAAGAUCUGUCCAUGUUCCUUGGUAAUAAUAACCCAUUCAUUUUGAUUCCUGAUAUUCAUCUACUUUUUCAAGAUAAUGAGAAUCUAAGUCUUCAGAUGAACAUAUGCCUAACAAUGGUCUUUGUGCAAACAGACACAGCAGCUUUCUCUCUCGUCUCCAAGAAGAAAAUAAUACAAAAACAAUAAUAAAUAAUAUAUAGAAUUCCUGGCAGUGCUCCAAAAUGGUCUGCUCUCUAGACAUCCGGUUCUCAAACCCAAAUGUGCAUGUUUCUUUUGAUUAUCACUACCCUCCAGUUGCUAUGCAACUGCACCUCCAGAUCCAGCAGUUCCCCACAGUAUGUGAGCACCUCUCAGUGUGCCCAAUAUUACAAAUUAGGCCUCCAUCUCUGACUGCGGCACUGCAGCUGGACCUCGGAAACAUGGCUUUUCCCUCUCGUAGUCUGGACGGAAGACGUGUGUCAAACUGUGAGAAGGAAUGAGCACUUGAAUGCUUCAAUCAAUAGCUAUUUUAAUUUGCUGUUUGGAUUAAAUGCAAAUUAUAUGCAGACUUCUGGGAAUGAAGAAAGUAGCACAUCACAUGCUUUGAUGGGCCAUAUUGAGAAAAAAAAACCUAAUUUACUGCAGCAAAUAAAAAAU